UGAAACCUGGGGAAUGCUUAGUCCCAAAGCUGCGGACCCCAGCACAUGGGACCACACUACCUGAAUUUAAGACUGUAUUCACCACGUGGAGAACCUACAGCCUAGACCGGCAACAGGGUACAUCUACAGGAAACCCAGCUCGUCUGGGGUGUGACUCAGGAAACC